UACGGAGGGUGCAAGCGUUAUCCGGAUUCACUGGGUUUAAAGGGUGCGUAGGCGGGCAGGUAAGUCAGUGGUGAAAUCUCCGGGCUUAACCCGGAAACUGCCGUUGAUACUAUCUGUCUUGAAUGUCGUGGAGGUAAGCGGAAUAUGUCAUGUAGCGGUGAAAUGCUUAGAUAUGACAUAGAACACCCAUUGCGAAGGCAGCUUACUACACGAUCAUUGACGCUGAGGCACGAAAGCGUGGGGAGCAAACAGG
rnacentral:rRNA from 1 species